rnacentral:rRNA from 1 species
UGGGGAAUAUUGCACAAUGGGGGAAACCCUGAUGCAGCGACGCCGCGUGAGCGAAGAAGGUUUUCGAAUCGUAAAGCUCUGUCCUAUGGGAAGAUAAUGACGGUACCAUAGGAGGAAGCCCCGGCUAACUACGUGCCAGCAGCCGCGGUAAUACGUAGGGGGCAAGCGUUGUCCGGAAUCACUGGGCGUAAAGGGUUCGCAGGCGGAAAUGCAAGUCAGUUGUGAAAGGAAGAGGCUCAACCUCUGUAAGGAAUUGAAACUGUAUUUCUUGAGAUGUGGAGAGGCAAGUGGAAUUCCUAGUGUAGCGGUGAAAUGCGUAGAUAUUAGGAAGAAUACCGGUGGCGAAGGCAACUUGCUGGACCCAAACUGACGCUAAGGAACGAAAGCGUGGGUAGCAAACCGG